rnacentral:rRNA from 1 species
AUUGAACGCUGGCGGCAGGCCUAACACAUGCAAGUCGAGCGGAUGAAGGGAGCUUGCUCCUGGAUUCAGCGGCGGACGGGUGAGUAAUGCCUAGGAAUCUGCCUGGUAGUGGGGGAUAACGUCCGGAAACGGGCGCUAAUACCGCAUACGUCCUGAGGGAGAAAGUGGGGGAUCUUCGAACCUCACGCUAUCAGAUGAGCCUAGGUCGGAUUAGCUAGUUGGUGGGGUAAAGGCCUACCAAGGCGACGAUCCGUAACUGGUCUGAGAGGAUGAUCAGUCACACUGGAACUGAGACACGGUCCAGACUCCUACGGGAGGCAGCAGUGGGGAAUAUUGGACAAUGGGCGAAAGCCUGAUCCAGCAAUGCCGCGUGUGUGAAGAAGGUCUUCGGAUUGUAAAGCACUUUAAGUUGGGAGGAAGGGAAGUAAGUUAAUACCUUGCUGUUUUGACGUUACCAACAGAAUAAGCACCGGCUAACUUCGUG